UACGAAGGUGGCAAGCGUUGUUCGGAUUUACUGGGCGUACAGGGAGCGUAGGCGGUUGGGUAAGCCCUCCGUGAAAUCUCCGGGCCUAACCCGGAAAGUGCGGAGGGGACUGCUCGGCUAGAGGAUGGGAGAGGAGCGCGGAAUUCCCGGUGUAGCGGUGAAAUGCGUAGAGAUCGGGAGGAAGGCCGGUGGCGAAGGCGGCGCUCUGGACUGGUACUGACGCUCAUGAGCGAAAGCGUGGGGAGCGAUCCGG
rnacentral:rRNA from 1 species